rnacentral:tRNA from 1 species
GCCGCUGUAGCUCAGUCGGUAGAGCAACUGAUUCGUAAUCAGUAGGUCGGAGGUUCGAUUCCUCUCAGCGGCA